rnacentral:lncRNA from 1 species
GCAUAAAGUUUGCUCAGGGGACCCCCCACUGCGAUUCCCCGGUAAUUGUCACAGCAAGACACGUCCCCUUUUUUGAAUACGGGGGACAGGGUGCUAGUCGUGAAUUCCCUCGGGUAGUCAGCUCCGUAUAUGCGGUUGAAUAGCACCGUUAAGUAAGGCGCCAAUACAAGCACGGGUUGCUGCCCUUCAGUUUCCCUGAUAGCGUACUUAUAAUACUCGGCCGGGGUUCCCUCCAGGCCCGCGGACUUAUUGUUGCGCAUAGCCUUAAGGCCACUAGCAAUUUCAUCCUCCGUAAAAUCCUUGUUAAGCCAAGCAGCUAAUUCCCGUCUGUGCGUCACCUGGUCCUCGUCCAGCCAUCUAAACUGAAUACCCUCAUUGCGGCAUUGCCUC